GCUGUUUUGUUUUGUGUUUAUUUUUUUUUUAAAUCAGUUCUCAAAAAUUGUAAAAAAUAAAAAAAUUCAAAAUAUUAAAAAAAAAAAAAAAUGUAAAAUACUUUCAUUCUAGUGUACACUUGCACACUUUUACACCAGCAGGCAUGCAUACUAACGUAACUAUCUUCUUGCAAACUUAAUCGCAUAAUUACAACACUUACACAUAAGCACUACUUUAUUUGUACACUUGUAUACUAACAAAAGUACUUACACUUUAGUUCACUUGCGUACUUGCACACUUACAUACAUAUCAGACUUGCAUACUAACAUACCUGGAUACUUGCAUAUUAGCAUUUUAUUAGUAUAAUUACCAUAUUUAGUAAGCAUACUUGCAUACUAAUGUGUAUAUUGAUGUAGCACACAUGCACACUAUUAUUGAAUACUUCCACAGUUUCUAACAUUCAAGCACAUGCAUACUAACAAACAUAUUUACCAACACACUUACAUACUAGCAUAGCUGUAUGCACAUUCCACACUUGCAUAUUAGCACACUUCCAUACUAACAUACUUACCAUACUAGUAUAUUACUAGGAUUACACACUAGCGUUCAUGUGCUAGUGAUGCUGAAUAAUUUGACAGACAGAAGACAUUGAGCGCCACACACACACACACACACACACACACACACACACACGGGUUGUGUGAAAGGCAGUGGCGAUGUGGGCGGGCUCAAACCCUUCAUUAAGCUGUGAUUGGAUGCUGUUGAUCCUAGGACUGGUGAGACAGAUGAAGCGUCAUGGCAGUGAGGAGAUUAGAUAAGUAAAGUCCACUCGGGUUUAUUUCAAUUUAGUCUGAUCGCUAGAGCGUUACAGAGGUCCCUAAUGAUGAAGGGGGAGGGAUGGGCAUGGGCUAGGGGAGGGGGAGGGGGAGAGAGAGAGAGAGAGAGAGAGAGAUAUUCAUCCUUCACACCUUCAGAAUAGAUAAUGGUGCAGAGAAAACAAGUCCACAAUAGAACAUUUACGAGAGGGCUACGAGGCUAAUCUUACUAACAAAAUAAGGGAAGCUUAGAACUACCAGUUUAGCAUCGUAAACUGUAUCCAAGUCAUCACACAGCUCAAAACGUGUCUGGUUGCACAAAAGAAUCGAAAGGUUGUAUUCUAGCAUACUUGCAUACUACUAUACAUUCAUAAAUCCAAGCUAAUAUACUCAGUAAUAUACACCAUUGUACUUAAUUAGUGCAUACUAGUAUACUCACAAGCUAGCUUCCAUACUUGCAUACUUACACAACUGCUUAAUAAUGCACGUGUAUACUAGUACACUUGCAUGCUAAAAUUUUAGCACACUUACAUACUAACAUCCGUACACACUUUCACGCUUGCACUCUAACACACAUGCAUACUUGCGUGCAUAGUAUCACACUUUCAUACUAACACACGUGCAUACCAGCGUACUGCACCUUAGCACACAAGCAUGCGUGCAUACUAGCAGACUUACACACUAACAUACAUACUUGCCCACCUGUACACAUGCAUACUAGAAUGCUAGCAGACUUACAUACUUAGCACACCUGCACACUAGCAUAUAAGCACUUCCAUAUUUGCUUAUUAGCACACGUACAUACUAGCGGACUUGUAUACUAAUCCAUAUGCUUAAUAGCACACAUACAUAUUAGUGUAAUACUACCACAGGCUAGCACAGCAGCUGUAUAAUUCCGUACUUACAUAUUAGCACAUUUCUUUCAUAAUAGCAAUGCUAGUAUAUAUUUACACACUAGCAUACAUGCAUCCUAGAUGACUCGCAUACUUACCAGCACCCUUGCAUAUUAGCACACUGUACAUACACACUAAUAUUUCAAUACUAAUAUAUUUACACAGCAGCACAUAUAUGUACUUGGAUACUAAUUUGCAUGCAUACUAGCGCACUUGCCUACUAGCCUAUUAGCACUUGCGCAUUAGCAUAUUUUCACGCUAGCAUACUUGCACUCCAACAUACAAGUAUAUUGUAUACUAGCACUCUUACGCAUUUUUUAAAAAAAUAUUUUUUACAUAAACAAGUAAAAUGUUUAACAGGAAGAUGUAAGAGUAGCAUAAAUAAAUUCAAAUAAACAACUUAAUGCAAAUAUUUCAGAAUCGCUACAGUUGUUUGUGCAGUAAGAAUAAACAGUAUAACAUAUGUGCAUAUUUCACAGCAUGUACAGGAACUCGAGCCCUGAUUAUAUUAAACAUUAAGAGUAAGUGCACUUGACUGUAAAUAAUAGCAGUUGCUGUGUGCAUGUGUGUGUAUGUGUGUGUAGGGGUGUAUACAGCAGUAGCAGUAUAAUAUUAGUGCUAAAAGGUUUUGUAGAGUGUGUUACAGAGCAAGGUUACAGAUAAGGAGGGAAAAUAAACUAAACACACACACACACACACA
ensembl:lncRNA